UAAACUCACUGUUUCAUUUAUUUCUCUUGUUAUGGGCUUUGAUUUACCUGUGUGUUUAAGUGUUUGACCUCUAGCCAGAAAGGUGUUUUACAAACUUAGGGUUCAUUGUCUUCUUCAAACUGUCCUUCUCCAAUAUGCGACGUCUUUAGCCAGCCAUGGAGAUUCAGCAUGUCGUUUCGGAGGAAUCGUUUCGAGGAGACUAUGUGUCAUGCACGACGCUCUCAUUCAAUGAUAUUUAUCCCUGUCAGAGCCGGUGUUUCUCCACUUAUAAAUAGCUGGCCACUUUUCUUCCACCCUCGAAGUGAGGCUACUGAUUUUUUGGGAAGCUAGGAACAUCGGAGUUGAUGGGAGUCGAUAUGCUUCUCCUAGAUGCCAAGAUAUCUAUCUCGAACAACAGCACGUCCGCGGUUUGCUCAGGUGUGAAGCUAGAGAACAUAAGGAAGAGCUCCAAAGGCGUCAUUAUGCUCAAGUACGUUACCUGGAAGUAAAAAGAGGAGAGAAAGCAGGGUUAGUAAGGGGUUAACGGAGCGGGGAAGAUGACCCAGCUCAUGAUCAUCAAGAACCCUAUUCAGGUUACAUUAUCAAGGCCAACCCAAUAUAAAAGUCACUUUCUUGAGCCAAGAGUUCGAGGUUUCCAUGAGCAGGACUGUGAAGGAAGAGUUCAUGGGUGCUUUCAAGGAAGAGAUAAGAUAACCAAGAAGCUGGAGAAAAUUCAGAAGGCUAUUGAAGGGUCUGUUGAUGGUUUGGAUCUUAUGGGGAGGUUCUUAGACGAGUUUGAUAUGUUGCAGAGAAGAUCUCAAGCUGUGAACUUAGACAUGGUCUAUGUUAAAGUUAGCAAGCUGAUACCGGGGUUAGAGUUUGUACCAGAGGAUGAUGAUGGGCUUGUGGCUUCAUUUAGCGGUGGAUGGCAAAUGAUAAUGUCACUCAGAAAUAUUCAGCUUUGGGUAGGAACAGAAUAAACACACAUUGAAU